rnacentral:misc_RNA from 1 species
UUUCUGUAGGUGAACCUGCGGAAGGAUCAUUACAGAGUUCAUGCCCUCACGGGUAGAUCUCCCACCCUUGAAUAUUUAUACCUUAGUUGCUUUGGCAGGCCGUGGAAACACCAUGGGCUCCGGCCUAUGCGUGCCUGCCAGAGGAAACAAACUCUGUUUUUAGUGAUGUCUGAGUACUAUAUAAUAGUUAAAACUUUCAACAACGGAUCUCUUGGUUCUG